AAAGAUUAAGCCAUGCAUGUCUCAGUAUCCCUUUAAAAACAGGGAAACCGCGAACGGCUCAUUACAACAGGCACCAUUUACUUGAUCUUGAAAGAAUCCUACUUGGAUAACUGUGGUAAUUCUAGAGCUAAUACAUGCCCUAAAGCUCUGACCUCGCGGGAAGAGUGCAUUUAUUAGAUCAAAACCAAGCGGCUUCGGCCGUCUACCACUGACUUAAAGUAACUAAGCUGAUCGUAUGGUCUUGUACCGACGACGUAUCUUUCAAGUAUCUGCCUUAUCAACUUUCGAUGGUAGUGUAGUGGACUACCAUGGUUGUGACGGGUAACGGAGGAUAAGGGUUCGACUCCGGAGAGGGAGCUUGAGACACGGCUACCAUGUCUAAGGACAGCAGCAGGCGCGCAAAUUACCCACUCUCAGAACGAGGAGGUAGUGACGAAAAAUAACGAGACCGUUCUCUAUGAGGCCGGUCAUCGGAAUGGGUACAAUCUAAACCCUUUAACGAGUAUCUAUGAGAGGGCAAGUCUGGUGCCAGCAGCCGCGGUAAUUCCAGCUCUCAAAAUGCAUAGAAUUAUUGCUGCGGUUAAAAAGCUCGUAGUUGGAUCUGUGCUGGGAACUGGGUCCGCCUUCGGGUGUGCACUCAGCUUCCCGGCUUUUUGCUGGUUUUCCCGUUGUGGCCUUUACCGGUUGCAGCGGGUGGCUGGCGAGUUUACCUUGAAGAAAUCAAAGUGCUUAAUACAGGCGAUUUGCUUGAAUGUGGUGCAUGGAAUAAUAGAAAAGGAUUUCGGUUCUCUUUUAUUGGUUUACGAGCUGAGAUAAUGGUUAACAGAGACUAACGGGGGCAUUCGUAUCGUUGCGUGAGAGGUGAAAUUCUUGGACCGCAGCGAGACCAACUACAGCGAAAGCAUUUGCCAAGAAUG
rnacentral:rRNA from 1 species